CACACUCCACACCAAUCACCUGUUGCCACAUACAGCUUAGCACACUACCUGGACUAUACAAGACUCACACACACACCACCUGAUUGCGAAGUCUUGUUAACCAUUGUUGCAAUUCUGAGCGUUUAUAUCCUGUCUGCCUGUUUGUUACCGAUCCUGUCUGUUACCCGUUGUCGACCCGUUGCUGCCUACCUUUGAUCCUUGCCUGGUAUUCUGUUCUAGUCUGACUGCAGACGUGCGAUGAGUAAGUGUGUGUUGUCUCCCGACGGGAGAGAGGGCGGACUGUGCCGAACGUAGGCACGUAAUCUGAAGAGCGUAACUAUAUAUAAGAGGGCUACUGACGGAGUAACGUGGUUGCAUUAUCCGUGGACAUGGCUCGAGUUGAGACGUUUGAGUUUGAUGUGGAGCAGGGACAGAUGAUGCAGAUUUUGAUCCGACAUUGUCAAACCAUGAAGCGUCAGGAGACACGACUGCGCUUGGCCACUGCGGCGCUGCUCGCAACAUUCCUCGCGACUUUGCUGUGGCUACAGUUUCAACAACAAACUACUAAGGAUGCAUUUUCCGGUGCCCAUUCAGAGGCUUUGGAUACUGAAGGACCACCAAUGAGACACUCUGUACAUCUUGAAGCUAGAAACCAGUUUGGUGAUUGUUCAGAAGAACAGCCCAUCAAGUGGGGCACUAUGGAUGAUGGCAUUGACUCCCAAAAUUUUAAGCUGGAAAACCAAACAAUCCUCCACGUCUUCACAAAGGGUCUCUACUUGAUCAAUCUAAGGAUCUCUUACCGUGUAGUCUAUAAUCAGUGUGAUCCUAAUUCAGAGCUUUUGACUUUAGAGGUCAAUGUCUCACAGAAGCAUAGCAACUAUGAAAUAGAGAGAGAGGUUAUAAGUGGUAAAGAGUCUAUGUUUUGUAGAAAUUUUUGGCUGCAGUCAAUCACUUUGAAUCGAGUUAUCAUGCUGGAAUCUGAGACUACUCUCAGGGUGAAAAUUAACAAGAAGAGUUGCAAGUUUGUCAACUGGGUAAGAAACAGUCACUUGGAUGUCACUUACCUCUAGCUUUGGCUUUUACUAGGUUUUACUAGCCGAUGCCAUUAAUGCGCAUUUGAGGUUUGUUAGCAUUAAGGUGUGCUUAAUUUUUAAUGACCUUAUAUUUAGGUUCGCAUAUAUAUGAGAAUGUAUAACCACUUUAAUUAAUUUUCUAGUUUGAGAGGUUUACUCUGAACCAUAAUGCUGAAAUUGUUAUUAAAUAACAUGACUACACAUGUAUGUACUAUCCGCAAAAGAAGCAGUAGUGAAUAAUUAAGUGUCGUUGUACCAGCUAAAUUGCACUAAAAUGUUGGUAGCUAGAGAAACAAUUUGCAUGUUUUAUGUUAAAACUUUUUGAAUGUGCAUUUAUGAACUUAUUCAUGAAGAGACUUUUUGUUGUCAUUUGAUUUUAAAAAUCAGAUCUGUUAAUUUUUAAACUUUUCUAAGUUGGAACCCUUCCUGUUUAUUACAAUGACCUCUAUGUACCAAUUGUAUACAUCUCCAUUUCAGAAUGCAAUGUAUUUUUGUGUGGUUUACUCAUAAUUAUGUGGUUUUGUAUUGAAAUUCAAAUAAAUAUUUGUUUGUAAAUUUG